rnacentral:ncRNA from 1 species
AUAAUAAGAUUCAGAAAAGAUAGUACUUACGACCCUAUUUUUAGAGAGUUGACGGUUGGUGAAAGUCAAUAGUAGUUCGUUUGGAAUCCACUUUUCACGAAAGAAAUAUAACGAAAACAAUGAGUAAGUUAUAUCGGCAAACAACCGUUAUCCUGUUUACAAGGGCAGUUUUUUUAACUGAACUUGGGUGGUACCGCGAAUUCAAACUAUUUCGUCCCAAGA